AGGUGUGGGGACCUAUCGACGGUUUCCGUGCCGUAGCUAACGCAUUAAGUGCCCCGCCUGGGGAGUACGGCCGCAAGGCUAAAACUCAAAGGAAUUGACGGGGGCCCGCACAAGCGGCGGAGCAUGUUGCUUAAUUCGAUGCAACGCGAAGAACCUUACCUAGGCUUGACAUGCAGGGAAAAGCCGUAGAGAUACGGUGUCCUUCGGGGCCCUGCACAGGUGGUGCAUGGUUGUCGU
rnacentral:rRNA from 1 species